AACACAAUAUCCCAUCAUCUUUGUUCUUAGAAGCUUAACAAAAGCAGCCACACUUCUUUCAUCUUAAAUCUUGGAAACCAUCUGUUGUUAUUUUGUUUGUUUGAUUUAGGUAUCUUAUUCAACAAAAUCUGAAAACCUCUAUAUUCUUUGCUUCAAUUACAAGAAGAAGCUGACUAAUACAACUUUGAUAAAUUCAAGAAAAAGAGAGAAAUUUGGAAAAAUGGAUGUGGACUUUUGGGCUGCAAGAAUAAAUUCAGCAAGGCAUAAUCUCUCUGCUGUACAAACAAACAGGCUCAGCAAUUAUGAUAGUCUCUCAAAUGUGGAUAAUACUGAAGGAGAAGAGGAUGUAAGAGCCUGGUUCCCCUGCCCUUUCUGUUAUGUUGAAAUUGAAGUCCAGAUGCUUUGCAACCAUUUGCAAGAAGAGCAUUGCUUUGACUUUAAAAACGCGGUUUGUCCCAUAUGUGCUGCAACAUUAGGUAAAGAUCCUCUGGGCCAUUUUAUGGUACAGCAUGCACAAUCAGUCAAGAGGAAGAGAAAGUACCUGAAGUCAGGCUUCUGGAAUAAUACAACAGCAAUAAGUGGCAAGGACCCCCACGAAGUAAAUUCGUUCUUCUGCACAAAUUUAGGGGUUGGUCGUUACAAUGUGCCAGAACCUGCUCCUGAUCCCCUUCUGCUGCCAUUUCUAUGUAGUGUGGCUCCUUCUGAUCCUAAAGACGGUCCACAAGAUAACUCUCUUGGCAGUGUUGCUGCCACUCCUGAUGUAGAAAGUUGUCACUGGAAUGAACAGAGAAUCUAUGUAGGUGGUGUUCUUUCCUUCUUUCUCGACCCAAAGCAAGUCAACUUCUUGAGAAACCAAUGUAUGCCAUUCAACGUAGAUUCAGCUUCUUUCUGGUGUAUCAUGUUUAGUACCCCAUCAUGUUGAAGUUUGGACUUAUCGUCUUUGGCAUACAAGAAGACAGUGAUGAAAAGGCAGUGAUGAACACAUUAAACAUAUGAAAUAAAGCAGCAAAAUGCCAGUAUGUGAUCCCGCCCUGGAAGAACAGUAUGAAGAGAAAAGGCAAAGAGCUGCGUUUCUUCAAGAGCUUAUUGCUUCAACUAUCUUCUAAGAUGUUCAUGACCAGACGGAGGAUCAACCCAACCAAGAGAACAGCUUUUUAGAACAUAUGUAUGAGAAUAAUGGUUCACGGGAA